UACGUAGGUGGCAAGCGUUGUCCAGAAUUACUGGGUGUAAAGGGAGCGCAGGCGGGAAGCCAAGUCAGCUGUGAAAACUACGGGCUUAACUUGUAGACUGCAGUUGAAACUGGUUUUCUUGAGUGAAGUAGAGGUUGGCGGAAUUCCGAGUGUAGCGGUGAAAUGCGUAGAUAUUCGGAGGAACACCGGUGGCGAAGGCGGCCAACUGGGCUUUAACUGACGCUGAGGCUCGAAAGUGUGGGGAGCAAACAGG
rnacentral:rRNA from 1 species